rnacentral:rRNA from 1 species
UACAGAGGGCCCAAGCGUUGUCCGGAUUCAUUGGGCGUAAAGGGUGUGUAGGCGGCGCGGUAAGUCGGGUGUGAAAUCUCGGAGCUUAACUCCGAAACUGCAUUCGAUACUGCCGUGCUUGAGGACUGGAGAGGAGACUGGAAUUUACGGUGUAGCGGUGAAAUGCGUAGAUAUCGUAAGGAAGACCAGUGGCGAAGGCGGGUCUCUGGACAGUACCUGACGCUGAGGCGCGAAGGCCAGGGGAGCAAACGGG